AGAACAAAUUUUAUGCUUCUCAGCAAGAUAAGUAAGUAGAUCGUGGAUAGCAGUGGCGAGGUAGACGACUUGGCGAGGCUCACUUCUGACUAGAUAUUGGCGAGCCUAGGAAAAUAGGCAAUAAGGUUUAUUUUAUGAAGGCUUUAGACUUAUUAUAUUUUGAUUUUGUUUUCCAAAUAGGUCUUUUAAAGUUUUAGCUAUUUUGUUUUGUGAACCAUGACUUAGAAUAUUGAUUAUCUUAUAUUACGAAUAAAGUUGAUGUUUUCAUGCAAAAA